rnacentral:rRNA from 1 species
UACGUAGGGUGCGAGCGUUUAAUCGGAAUACUGGGCGUAAAGCGUGCGCAGGCGGUUGGUUAAGUCUGAUGUGAAAGCCCCGGGCUCAACCUGGGAAUGGCAUUGGAAACUGGCUGGCUAGAGUGUGGCAGAGGGGGUGGAAUUCCGCGUGUAGCAGUGAAAUGCGUAGAGAUGCGGAGGAACACCGAUGGCGAAGGCAGCCCCCUGGGCUGACACUGACGCUCAGGCACGAAAGCGUGGGGAGCAAACAGG